rnacentral:rRNA from 1 species
UACGUAGGGUGCAAGCGUUAAUCGGAAUUACUGGGCGUAAAGCGUGCGCAGGCGGCUUUGCAAGACAGAUGUGAAAUCCCCGGGCUUAACCUGGGAACUGCAUUUGUGACUGCAUGGCUGGAGUGCGGCAGAGGGGGAUGGAAUUCCGCGUGUAGCAGUGAAAUGCGUAGAUAUGCGGAGGAACACCGAUGGCGAAGGCGACAUCCUGGACCGGUAUUGACGCUGAGGCGCGAAAGCCAGGGGAGCAAACGGG